GUAAGUUUAUAAAAAAGCUAUUACCUAUUGGAGAUUGCUUUGAAGCUUAUCGUUAACCCAAGAUUAAGCUAACCCGCUUUCGAACAAAAACCCUCAGAUAAUCUUGACCACAAUUUAUAUAUUUUUGUGCAUUAUAGGGAGAAUAUUUGAAAGUUUCACCAUACGCAAAGUCUGCUAGUGAAUGUUGCAAGUGCGCAAAAUGUAAGCAAAAGAAAUGGAUUCUAUAUAUUUCGUUGUAUUCAUAUAUUCAAUUUGCCCUCAUGACCGCUAACUUGGAUUUUUUCAUCCAUUUUUAUGUUGAAAAUGACUUGGCAGUUGAUCGAUAAACGGUUAGUAUAUCUUACAUCGUUUUUGAGCUAUUUUAAUAGGAGAAUCUUUUUUAUUAUAUAGUAGAGAGUGAGAGUACACAGUGAGAUAUUUUCCAUAUCUUUACUAGUGAAGAUAUCCAUCACGUGACUUUUUCCAAUUUGCUUUUGAGCAUGAAAUUUCACAAUUUUUUGCUUGGGACUCUAUUAAAUACAGAACAUUACACGGUGGCGCGAAGAUAUGACUUUUAUCUUCUCGUGUUAAAAACAAUAUUUCACUCACUCGCGAUUGUUUUCCACUCGAAGAUAAAAGUCAUAUCUUCGCGCCGCCGUGUAACAUCCUCUUUUUACGUUACAUUGUUACGUAACACGCGCUCAAAACUAUUUAACAAUUAGACAACGAGGCCGAGUUGUCUGUAAGCGAAUAUUAUACCUCAAAUUCAAAUUGUCCAAUGAAAAAACAGCAUUUGUACCACGUGGUAGUGUGAUUUUUUACGGUAUUUCACUCAAAUUCAUGAUUUCACAAUCCAGCGUGGGAUACUAUAAUAUCCCACGGCAGAUCCACCGUGGGAUAUUAUAGUAUCCUACGCUCACGCGCGACGCGUGGACACCACGCUCUGAAUUCUGAAACAAUAUGGCGUUCGCGAGCUGUUGCAUGUUUGUAUUAAUUUCGUACAGAACUACAGAAGAUUUUAAUAUUAAAUAAACCAAAUAUUUCAGCACGUAUGUUACUUUCAACGAUCCAAAGGAUACUUGCUCAAAUAUUUUAAGGAGAAAACGUCAAAAACUCAGGCAUAGAUAAGAAAUUAAAAAUUUUAUUCGCGUAGUUAUUAAUAUUCAGCAAGUUUUAAAGUUUAUUCUGAACUUGAUAGACUCUUAGUGAGUUCUUUAACUUUCGGUAUAAUAUAUCAUUUAUAGACCCUCCGCUCGGGGGAUUCGGCGAUAUUUCCCUCAGUGAUGAUAUUUUCCUCGGGGCAAAGCCCCUCGGAAAAUAUCAUCACUUCGGGAAAUAUUACGCCGAAUCCCCCUCGCUCCGGGUCUAUAAAUGAUAAAUAGUCAACGAAGCGAAGCCGAGUUGACUAUUUGCUCAUAGACAACGAGGCCGAGUUGUCUAAUUGUUUUAGUAUAAACUUUAACAUUAAUUUACAACUAGGCUGCAAACACAAUACAAAAUACACAAAAAAAAACAUUAUAAAACCAUUAAAGGUAAACACAUAUUUUAGUUUUUGUUCGCGUCUUCUUUAAUUCAGUCUUAAUUUUAAAAUUUCAUUGAGUGUAUGUUAUUUUGUUUAUUUUCUUACCUUUAAAAAUUGCCAUUCCAUAUUUUUGUUGCUUUUUUCGUGGGGUUUUUUUUAAUACAGAAUUGUUCAACAAGUGGUCCAAAAAAUCAUCAAACACUUCGGCAAAAGUGCAAAACGCGAAUUUUCCGCCAUUUUUAAUUUUCUAUUAGUAGGCUAUCACUAAUAGCCUACUAGUAGCGUAGCCAAUCAGAAGGCACGAUAUGUGUACUAGUAGAUUUAUACUAAAAAUGAAUAUACUUUUCCACUUGGUUAGGACUAUAUUCAAUUUUUUAAAUUUUUGAUACGUUUCUCAAGAGGCAAACAAACUUUAAAAAUAUGUUUAGUGCUAUCUGUAAAAUAAUGCUACAAUGAAGAGAUUUUAGAUGGUAUGCCAAAGCGAAAUGAUGAUGUCUGAAGUUCUGAAUCAGUAAUUAAGUUUUGCUUAUAUGUUGCUGUAUAAAUAUGACAGCAAUUUUACAGCAUCGCCAUCACUCAUCAGUGAUAAUUGUAUUUAAAUUCAUUUAAAAUACUUAACUAUAUUAUUUUGUGCUUCUCAACCGCCAGAUACAUUUGAAAAUGUUGUUAACUGUGUAAACUACAAAAUAAAGAUUAAUUUAAUGCUAAAAAAGUAAUUUUGAGAGGAACGCCAAGAAGAUUUUAAGUUUUGGCCAAAAAUGGCUGGCAAAAAUAACUAAGAUUGAACUACGCAUUCCAUUUCAACGGCCAAUCAGAUUCCUCCCUGAAACGGAUUAUCCCAGAGCCUCGCGUUCCUUUCCGAGGAUCGCAGGUUCGGGAAACGAGAUUGACUUGUUAAAGGAAAAGCAUGGGACGUCAAUACUUUAUUUGCUUAGACCUGUUAUUUCGCUCAAAGUACCCUGCAUGCGCAAUUUGUAUAAAUCCUGCCACCAGUUCUUCAUCCUGCCAAAAUAUCAAUCCUUGUUCGAUGUUUACACUAUUACAAACGUCAAUUACCAACGAACUCUAUUUUUUCUAAACUUCUAUGGAAAAGAAUCAAUGAAUAAAAUAUUACAGGGUUUAUAUAUUUUCCUGAUACUUAAUUUCUUUGUGGGACUUCAAGGUAUGUCGGAUUAUAUACAUUAUACAUGUAUAGAAUAUUGACUGAACUUGGCAUAGAAUAUUGACUUUCCCGUCGACCAAGAACAUUCUACUUACGAGUGAAAUCGUCAGGGAAUUUGUCAAUUGCCCUGCCAAAGUCUACACAGGGGCGGCACUAGGCCUCCUUCAAUGGGGCGGGGGGGGGGGCUGUGUCAGGUUUAAUUUCACCGAGUCAUUAGAUUGGUCUGUAUUAGCUUAUAUGUACACGGGCACAUUUACUAAAUUUUGGUUAGCAUUACAUACAAGCGGAUUAUGCAAAAGUCUCCACUUGCACAAUAAAAUCUGUCAGAUCUGUCGACUAUACACUUGAUUGUUUUUAACUACAACAGAGUUCUAGGCGGUCCGAGGUCAUACUCAUCCGGGAAAAAAUUGAAAUCUAGAGUCUCUGAAAUGGCAUUUCCUCCGUUCUGGAGAAGAUUUCAAAUGACUACCUCAACGAUUAAAAUUGAUCCUAACCAUGCAUCCACAACAACCGUUUCCAGCUAUGACCGCUGUUGAAAACCCACUUGUCUGCAUUUAUAUGGCUGUUGGGCUGUUUUGAAUUUUUAAAUUGCCCGCUACGACUCAAUGGGGCACAUUUUCAAGACAUGAGUAUUCACCUGACGUUUUGAAGUAUUUUAAUACUUAAAACUUAAAAGUUACCAAAACUAAAAAAACCCAAAAAAAACAAAAGUUUGGUUUUAAUUCAAAUGAUUCAAUUCGUUAAUUUGAUCCAUAUCCAAACAGUUCAUUUUUUGCUGAAGGAAUGCAACAAUUCGCCAACUCGUUCAUGGGUUUGUGGCGGUGUUCGACCCUCCUCUAACGCCGCCCCUGAGUCGACAUCCCGAUUUGAUUAUUCUAUUUUUUUUCAUAGGAAAAUCUAUUACGGGCAAGUUACUGAAGCAAGAUAGUUUGAAAAAGGGGAAAAUUCCCACGAUUUUCUCCGGACCGUUACCCGCAUGCAUGGUAAGACCGUCUGCGCAAGAUGAUGGUGUUGUAUUAUCUCGAAUUUGUUAUAUAGCUAGGGUGAACACCAAACGCGAUUGGCUGAUGUGUUGUCACGUGGCUUUAGAUAAACGCAAUGUACCCGCGCCGAGCAACAUGUGAAAAAUUGUUGGCCGCCCUGACCGGUCACACACAUACAUGAAAAAAAUGGCUGGACGACUCGCAAGUUUAUAAACUAGGAUUUUCCAAGUUUGUGUUAAAUUGAAAAAUGUAAAACAGAAGAAAAAUGCACGACAGGCAACAGGAUAUGCUGCUGAAACCGUUUAUAAGUGUUUUUUUUUUUAAAUUUUAAAUGAAAUACAAUUGUUGUAGCCUACCAUGCAAUGUUGUUUAUUUUUCUAGUUUCCAUAACGUAACGAAACACUUAAUGUGUGCUCUCUUGGCCUUGGGAAAUGGUUUUGUUUCCCCUCGAAUCUCAUUAAGAUUCUCGGGAAAACAAAACUAAAUGUUUCCCUCGGCAGCAUGCAGACAUUAACGCCCGUAUUCUAAAAGCUCACUCAUACUCAAUGAUUGAGUGGAAGUUCAAUCUGAGCUUCUCUCGAGUGUCAUUGCUGUUUUUGAAUAGCUGGAGGGCUAGUGUCAUACCUAACUCGGUAACUACUCGCCCUCCAGCUAUUCAAAAACAGCAUUGACACUCAAGAGAAGCUCAGAUUGAACCUCCACUCAUUGAAUGUGAGCUUUUAGAAUACGGGCAUAAUUAUAAGUGAUAAGUGUAUGAAAUGAUCCAAUUAUUACACGUACCAAAAAUCGUAUUUGGCGUCAUUUCUUUUAUAUGAUCUAUACGCACAAGUUGGUAAAUUGUUCUUUGCCAUGAAAACGUCCAAAGAUUUAAAGAAUGAUUAAAUUAAACCAUGUUCAAAUCUGAUGAUUUCAGCCAAUACCGUGGCAGAUCGUUGAUCCAUGUCAUCUACAUGAAUGUGAAGAUGGUGUGCACUUCUUGGUGUCAGUUUGUGAUACGAAGGGAAUCACUUGUGCAGAGGUAAUACAACAUACACGCGUAAAAAUGUCGCAUUUGUCAACAAGAUGUGUUCGCACUGCUUGUUCCCAGUUGCUGACAGCUCUGGAACAAGCUGUUGUCAUCUUGUAACAAAAUUGAUGAGGCCAACAGACUCGCAACAAGUUGUUUUAACAGGCUAGUCUGAUAUCGUCUGCAGACAGGCGUUGACAACAUGCAGGCUCGUAGCAACUUGUUACGAACAUUAUUGGAACAACUUGUAACAAGUCUGUUACUGUCAUCAACCUUGUAACAAGAUGACCAAUCUUGUUCCUCCUAGUGAUUCUGAGUUCGUUUAUACUUUUAUUAUUUAAAUCUGUUUAAUCAUUUUAAUAGGGAGAAUAUUUAAAAGUGGCUUCAAAUCCAAAGGUGGCAAGUGAUUGCUGUAAAUGCACAGCUUGUGAGUAGAUAUUAUAUUUCCUUUUAGUCGGAAAGAGUAAAUUUUAUUUAACAACUUUAUUGGUGCCAUUAAUUACAUUAAAAUAAUUAGUACAAUAUCAACUGGCCCAAAAGGGAAGGUGCGAACGAGACUAUAUAGGAGUCCCAUGCAAGGCACCUACAUUCUCUAAUAAGUAGUAAUAGAUAUUUAUAACUAUAUAUGUAUUAUAAAACUAUGAAAACAAUGAAAGUAGCAAAACGGUUAAACAGGAGCGAAUGAUGAUUUGGAGAUCGAGCUCGAGCUAGUCAACUCUCUUGGAGUGAUUACUUAAGAUGACGCACGAAACAUCAUCAUCCGUUCCUAUUCGAACGUUUUACUUCUAAAUAAUUAGUUUACUCUAUGACCUAUGGCAAGAGCAGUCCCGCACUAGUAGACUAUAUGUGCACGUCAUGUCCACGUCAAAGGUUCUGUUCAGCUCUAAACUACAUGUAUAUUUAGCCAACGUUUUAAACAUUGAUAAGCUGGAAAAGUUUCGAGAAGUGGCAGUGAUCUAUAAUACUGUUCCAGAGCUUGAUUAUACAACUUUAAGUUUAAUUAAAUUAUUAUGCCCAUAUCAGUUAUAAUUUCACUUUCUUUCAGUUUGAAAAGGCUUCGGUGGUGUACAGGUGUAGUCGUCAGAGAUCGUGGGUUUGUUUCUCUUUGGUGACUCAUGGGAGAAAGUCUGUUAACGCUCUACCGAAAGUUGUUACUCCGGUUUCCUCCCACAGGGUGGGUAGGGAUUAGCCCCUAACUCACCCUUCCACCUUAGCCUUCAUGAUCAGACCACUGAGCUCUAUAUAUCACAGAGUAAAAAUGCUGUACUGCAUGAGUGGUUAUAUUACUACUUUAAAAAAUAAGCAGAAACUCGACGUUUCGAGCGAAGGCCCUUCGUCAAGAGUUAGUAGCAGGGAUCGGGGAAAAUGCACGGGCUUUUAUACAAAGAGUAUGAAAGUAUCACGUGACAAAAAAAUAAACCAAUUAGAUGGAUUUAAUAAUAACAAAGUGUAAACAAAAUAUGUAAAUCGCAUUACAGAAUAUAAUAUAAUUAAAAAUAUAACAAUAAACAGGAAGUUAAGACAAAUACUACAAAAAAGAAUCAAAACAAAACACGAGUGGAAAUAAGGUAAAAGUAAAAGUAAUAAAUAGAAGUUGUCAAUGUCUGCUAUAGGCAGGCAAAGACAGAUGGCAUCAUAGACAAAACAGAAGACAUGUCUUCUGGAUUGUCUAUGAUGGCAUUAAACAUAAGAAAAGCGUUCAUUAAUGCCAGAAGGGUGAACAGUGCCAAGUUUGGAUAUGAGGCGUAUUUCAUGUCGUUUGCGGCUAAAUAGGAAUACUCAUUUAUUCCUUGUCUUGUGAUUAUAUUCACCAUUUCAAAACCCACGUUGGUACGUAAUUUAAAGAUAAAUAUUCAUACUUUCAAACAAGACAUAACAAUAAAGAAUCAAAUUCAUUUUCUGACGUUUCGUUGUAGUAUAUCACAACAUCUUCAGAGCAUUUAAAUCAACUUUCAAGAGUAUACAUACAAGUUACUAAAACGGUUAUAAAAUAUUAACCCCUCUGGAAACAGCAUUUUUCUCCCACUUUUCCCAAUUACCCACUGGAAAAAAUGACUAACUUCCAC